rnacentral:rRNA from 1 species
GUAGGGAAUCUUCCACAAUGGGCGCAAGCCUGAUGGAGCAACGCCGCGUGAAUGAAGAAGGUCUUCGGAUCGUAAAAUUCUGUUGUUAGAGAAGAAUAUGAGUAAUAGUAACUGAUUAUUCACUGACGGUAUCUAACCAGCAAGUCACGGCUAACUACGUGCCAGCAGCCGCGGUAAUACGUAGGUGGCAAGCGUUGUCCGGAUUUAUUGGGCGUAAAGGGAACGCAGGCGGUUUUUUAAGUCUGAUGUGAAAGCCUUCGGCUUAACCGGAGAUGUGCAUUGGAAACUGGAAGACUUGAGUGCAGAAGAGGAGAGUGGAACUCCAUGUGUAGCGGUGAAAUGCGUAGAUAUAUGGAAGAACACCAGUGGCGAAAGCGGCUCUCUGGUCUGUAACUGACGCUGAGGUUCGAAAGCAUGGGUAGCGAACAGGAUUAGAAACCCUAGUAGUCC